UACGGAGGGAGCUAGCGUUGUUCGGAAUCACUGGGCGUAAAGCGCACGUAGGCGGAUUGCUAAGUCAGGGGUGAAAUCCUGGAGCUCAACUCCAGAACUGCCCUUGAUACUGGCGGUCUCGAGUCCGGGAGAGGUGAGUGGAACUGCGAGUGUAGAGGUGAAAUUCGUAGAUAUUCGCAAGAACACCAGUGGCGAAGGCGGCUCACUGGCCCGGUACUGACGCUGAGGUGCGAAAGCGUGGGGAGCAAACAGGAUAGAAACCCCGGU
rnacentral:rRNA from 1 species